rnacentral:rRNA from 1 species
AGCAGCCGCGGUAAUUCCAGCUCCAAUAGCGUAUAUUAAAGUUGUUGCAGUUAAAAAGCUCGUAGUCGAAUUUCGAGAUCAAAUUGUUGGUCGUGCCUCGGUACGUACUGGCAUUAUUGAUUUCUCCCUUCUGAAGAACCACGAUGUCAUUAAUUUGGUGUCGUGGGGAAUCAGGACUGUUACUUUGAAAAAAUUAGAGUGUUUAAAGCAGGCUCACGCUUGAAUACAUUAGCAUGGAAUAAUGAAAUAGGACGUUUGAUUCUAUUUUGUUGGUUUCUAGGAUCGACGUAAUGAUUAAUAGGGAUAGUUAGGGGCAUCAGUAUUCAAUUGUCAGAGGUGAAAUUCUUGGAUUUAUUGAAGACUAACUACUGCGAAAGCAUUUGCCAAGGAUGUUUUCAUUAAUCAAGAACGAAAGUUAGGGGAUCGAAGACGA